rnacentral:rRNA from 1 species
AAUGAACGUUGGCGGCGUGGAUUAGGCAUGCGAGUCGUGCGAGAACCGUAGCAAUACGGGGACAGCGGCGAAAGGGAGAGGAAUACGUGGAUACCUACCCUCAGGUUCAGGAUAGCUAUGGGAAACUAUAGGUAAUACUGAAUAAUAUCUCCGGAUCAAAGGUGUGAUUCCACCUGAGGAGGGGUCCGCGUCCUAUUAGCUAGUUGGUGUGGUAACGGCGCACCAAGGCGAAGAUGGGUACGGGAUGUGAGAGCAUAAUCCCGCUCAUUGGGACUGAGACACUGCCCAGACACCUACGGGUGGCUGCAGUCGAGAAUCUUCGGCAAUGGGGGAAACCCUGACCGAGCGACGCCGCGUGUGAGAUGAAGGCCUUCGGGUUGUAAAUCACUGUCGUAGAGGAGGAAAUGUAGGUGGGUUCUCCCAUCUAUUUGACCUAUUCUAGGAGGAAGGACGGGCUAAGUUCGUGCCAGCCGCCGCCGUAA